rnacentral:rRNA from 1 species
GAUGGACGCUGGCGGCGUGCCUAAUACAUGCAAGUCGAACGCUUCAUUUCGGUGAAGAGUGGCGAACGGGUGAGUAAUACAUAAGUAACCUGGCAUCUACAGGGGGAUAACUGAUGGAAACGUCGGCUAAGACCGCAUAGGUGUAGAGAUCGCAUGAACUCUAUAUGAAAAGUGCUACGGGACUGGUAGAUGAUGGACUUAUGGCGCAUUAGCUGGUUGGUAGGGUAACGGACUACCAAGGCGACGAUGCGUAGCCGACCUGAGAGGGUGACCGGCCACACUGGGACUGAGAAACGGCCCAGACUCCUACGGGAGGCAGCAGUAGGGAAUUUUCGGCAAUGGGGGAAACCCUGACCGAGCAACGCCGCGUGAAGGAAGAAGUAAUUCGUUAUGUAAACUUCUGUCAUAGAGGAAGAACGGUGGAUAUAGGGAAUGAUAUCCAAGUGACGGUACUCUAUAAGAAAGCCACGGCUAACUACGUGCCAGCAGCCGCCGCUG